rnacentral:rRNA from 1 species
AGAGUUUGAUCCUGGCUCAGGACGAACGCUGGCGGCGUGCUUAACACAUGCAAGUCGAACGGAAAGGCCCUUCGGGGUACUCGAGUGGCGAACGGGUGAGUAACACGUGGGUGAUCUGCCCUGCACUUUGGGAUAAGCCUGGGAAACUGGGUCUAAUACCGAAUAGGACCACGCGCUUCAUGGUGUGUGGUGGAAAGCUUUUGCGGUGUGGGAUGGGCCCGCGGCCUAUCAGCUUGUUGGUGGGGUAAUGGCCUACCAAGGCGACGACGGGUAGCCGGCCUGAGAGGGUGACCGGCCACACUGGGACUGAGAUACGGCCCAGACUCCUACGGGAGGCAGCAGUGGGGAAUAUUGCACAAUGGGCGCAAGCCUGAUGCAGCGACGCCGCGUGAGGGAUGACGGCCUUCGGGUUGUAAACCUCUUUCAAUAGGGACGAAGCGCAAGUGACGGUACCUGGAGAAGAAGCACCGGCCAACUACGUGCCAGCAGCCGCGGUAAUACGUAGGGUGCGAGCGUUGUCCGGAAUUACUGGGCGUAAAGAGCUCGUAGGUGGUUUGUCGCGUUGUUCGUGAAAACUCACAGCUUAACUGUGGGCGUGCGGGCGAUACGGGCAGACUAGAGUACUGCAGGGGAGACUGGAAUUCCUGGUGUAGCGGUGGAAUGCGCAGAUAUCAGGAGGAACACCGGUGGCGAAGGCGGGUCUCUGGGCAGUAACUGACGCUGAGGAGCGAAAGCGUGGGGGGCGAACAGGAUUAGAUACCCUGGUAGUCCAA